UGAAACGUCAAACCGCUUUCUGUUUACCGCUCUUCAUAAUUUUGCCAAUAUUCUGAUUUUUGUAAAAAUUACGAACAACUACAAACUGUCUACUUUUAAAAAUAUACUUCUUUUUCGCGUCACUAUUGGUUUGUCAUACAUAAAUAAGCAAAAACAUUGUUUCUCAUUCAUAAAACUGUUUAUGUGUGAUCCUUUCUUUCAAAAUUUAUAAAUGCUCAGGGAAGAAGCUUGAAACAAAUUUCUCCGGAUAUUUUUGCUGACAAUACACCAAAAAAACAUUUAUCUAACAAAAUUAUGAAUCCAAGUGCCGCAGUUGCUACUACCUCUGCAGCGUCAUCGGCUAGUGUGCCAUAAACUUAAUAGUGCUUUGGAUGCCAAACUGGAGUGUAUUGUGAAGAAGAAGACCUGACACCAAUCUCCAUUGAAAUCCAGCAUAAGCGCGACGACAACGCCCGUCUUCAGAAAGAGCUGCAAUCUGGUAAAAACGGUCUCGAGUUUGUAGACAAAACCUGCAGACGCAAUAACAUUGUCAUAAAAGCAACUAUGUGCCUGAAGCGGUGUGUGAAUUGAAGGAGCUAUGUACACAAACUCUAAAAGUCACCUUCAGUGUAGUGGAGGUUCACAAAGUUGGAUCGGAAAAGUCUUUUGUUUUAACACUAAAUUCACCCAUGCGAGUAAAUGCCGGUAUGGCUGCAAAGCGUUAACUUGUUGGCCCAAAAAUAUAAAUAGAUAAAGACUACACCGCAGACGAACGCUCCAACAGGUAUUUCUUACGACAGAUCGGCAAAAUUUUCAAAAAGGGGAAAAAGUCGUCGCCGAUUUUCUACCAGAUGCUGAGUACCUGCGCAACCUGUUAUCUACAAUACAAUAAACUGUGAAUGCAUUAUUGAAGUAAAGUCUUAUAAAAACAAUACAACCACCGUAAAUGAUGCAAAUUUGAAUUAGCGAUUAGAAGUGAGUCAAUUGGUAUCUUAUAAUGUACAAUGUACAAUACAAUACAAUACAUCGACAA